UACGUAGGGGGCAAGCGUUGUCCGGAUUUAUUGGGCGUAAAGGGCGCGUAGGCGGCCCUCCUAGUCGCGUGUGAAAGCCCCGGGCUCAACCUGGGGAAUUGCGCGCGAAACGGGGGGGGCUUGAGUUCGGGAGAGGAGCGUGGAAUUCCCAGUGUAGAGGUGAAAUUCGUAGAUAUUGGGAAGAACACCGGUGGCGAAGGCGGCG
rnacentral:rRNA from 1 species